UUCCUGAUGGCCUAAUGGUUAGGAUUCUGGGUUUUCACUGCAGUGGCCCAGGUUCAAUUCCUGGUUGGGGCA
rnacentral:tRNA from 1 species